rnacentral:rRNA from 1 species
AGAGUUUGAUCCUGGCUCAGGAUGAACGCUAGCGGCAGGCUUAACACAUGCAAGUCGAGGGGCAGCGAGAUUGAAGCUUGCUUCAAUUGUCGGCGACCGGCGGACGGGUGCGUAACGCGUAUGCAACCUACCCAUAACAGGGGGAUAACACUGAGAAAUUGGUACUAAUACCCCAUAACAUCUCGAGUGGCAUCACUUGGGGUUGAAAGCUUCGGUGGUUAUGGAUGGGCAUGCGUUGUAUUAGCUAGUUGGUGAGGUAACGGCUCACCAAGGCGACGAUACAUAGGGGGACUGAGAGGUUAACCCCCCACAUUGGUACUGAGACACGGACCAAACUCCUACGGGAGGCAGCAGUGAGGAAUAUUGGUCAAUGGACGGAAGUCUGAACCAGCCAUGCCGCGUGCAGGAUGACGGCUCUAUGAGUUGUAAACUGCUUUUGUACGAGGGUAAACCCGAAUACGUGUAUUCGGCUGAAAGUAUCGUACGAAUAAGGAUCGGCUAACUCCGUGCCAGCAGCCGCGGUAAUACGGAGGAUCCAAGCGUUAUCCGGAUUUAUUGGGUUUAAAGGGUGCGUAGGCGGUCAGAUAAGUUAGAGGUGAAAUUCCGGUGCUUAACACCGGCGCUGCCUCUAAUACUGUUUGACUAGAGAGUAGUUGCGGUAGGCGGAAUGUAUGGUGUAGCGGUGAAAUGCUUAGAGAUCAUACAGAACACCGAUUGCGAAGGCAGCUUACCAAGCUAUAUCUGACGUUGAGGCACGAAAGCGUGGGGAGCAAACAGGAUUAGAUACCCUGGUAGUCCACGCAGUAAACGAUGAUAACUCGUUGUCGGCGAUACAAUGUCGGUGACUAAGCGAAAGCGAUAAGUUAUCCACCUGGGGAGUACGUUCGCAAGAAUGAAACUCAAAGGAAUUGACGGGGGCCCGCACAAGCGGAGGAACAUGUGGUUUAAUUCGAUGAUACGCGAGGAACCUUACCCGGGCUUGAAAGUUAGUGACGGACUUGGAAACAAGUCUUCCCUUCGGGGCACGAAACUAGGUGCUGCAUGGUUGUCGUCAGCUCGUGCCGUGAGGUGUCGGGUUAAGUCCCAUAACGAGCGCAACCCCUACCGUUAGUUGCCAUCAGGUGAAGCUGGGCACUCUAGCGGGACUGCCGGUGUAAGCCGAGAGGAAGGUGGGGAUGACGUCAAAUCAGCACGGCCCUUACGUCCGGGGCUACACA